AAUCAACGCUGGCGGCGUGCCUCAGACAUGCAAGUCGAACGAUUAAACUUUCCUUCGGGAAAGAUAUAAAGUGGCGCACGGGUGAGUAACACGUAAGUAAUCUGCCUUCGAGUGGGGAAUACCUUCGGGAAACCGAAGAUAAUACCGCAUAAUGCAGCGGCACCGCAAGGUGACAGUUGUUAAAGGAGCAAUCCGCUUGAAGAGGAGCUUGCGGCAGAUUAGCUAGUGGUAAGGUAACGGCUUACCAAGGCUACGAUCUGUAUCCGGUCUAAGAGGACGGUCGGACACACUGACACUGAAUAACGGGUCAGACUCCUACGGGAGGCAGCAGUCGGGAAUUUUGGGC
rnacentral:rRNA from 1 species